rnacentral:rRNA from 1 species
CCUACGGGAGGCAGCAGUGGGGGAUAUUGCACAAUGGGGGAAACCCUGAUGCAGCGAUGCCGCGUGAAUGAAGACGGCCCUCGGGUUGUAAAGUUCUUUCGCUGGGGACGUAAAUGACGGUACCCUGCAAGAAAGCUCCGGCUUACUUCGUGCCAGCUGCCGCGGCAAUACGUAGGGAGCAAGCGUUGUCCGGAAUUACUGGGUGUUAAGGGAUCGUAGGUGGGAGGAUAGGUUGAAGGUGAAGUCUUUGGGCUAAACCCAAAGCUGCGUUUAAAACUGUUCUUCUUGAGUGAAGUAGAGGCAGGCGGAAUUCGUAGUGUAGCGGUGAAAUGCGUAGAUAUUAGGAGGAACACCAGUGGCGAAGGCGGCCUGCUGGGCUUUUACUGACGCUGAGGCUCGAAAGCGUGGGUAGCAAACAGGAUUAGAUACCCCUGUAGUC